GCUGGGCGCAGUCACACACACCUAUAGUCCCAGCUACUUGGGAGGCUAAGGGAGGAGAACUGCUUGAGUCCAGGAGUUCUAAGUUGUAGUACACUUUAUCAAUCAGGUGUCUGCAUUAAGUUCACCAUCAAUAUGGUGACCUCGGGGAGCAGGAGACGACCAGGUUGCCUAAGGAAGGAAGAACUGGCCCAGGUUGGAAACAGAACAGGUCCAAACUUCCAUGCUAAUCAGUAGUGGGACUGCAUCUAAGAAUAGCCACUGCACUCCAAUCUGGGCAAAAUGGUGAGACCCUGUCUCU
rnacentral:SRP_RNA from 1 species